UACGGGGGGUGCGAGCGUUGUCCGGAAUCACUGGGCGUAAAGGGCGCGUAGGUGGUUUGAUAAGGGUGUGGUGAAAGUCCGGGGCUCAACCCCGGGUCUGCCGUGCGAACUGCUAUGGCUUGAGCACUGUAGAGGCAGGUAGAAUUCCGGGUGUAGCGGUGGAAUGCGUAGAGAUCCGGAAGAAUACCGGUGGCGAAGGCGGCCUGCUGGGCAGUGGCUGACACUGAGGCGCGACAGCGUGGGGAGCAAACAGG
rnacentral:rRNA from 1 species